AUGCACGCUGGCGGCGUGCCUAAUACAUGCCAGUCGCGCGAACAGACGAGGAGCUUGCUCCUCUGACGUUAGCGGCGGACGGGUGAGUAACACGUGGAUAACCUACCUAUAAGACUGGGAUAACUUCGGGAAACCGGAGCUAAUACCGGAUAAUAUAUUGAACCGCAUGGUUCAAUAGUGAAAGACGGUUUUGCUGUCACUUAUAGAUGGAUCCGCGCCGCAUUAGCUAGUUGGUAAGGUAACGGCUUACCAAGGCAACGAUGCGUAGCCGACCUGAGAGGGUGAUCGGCCACACUGGAACUGAGACACGGUCCAGACUCCUACGGGAGGCAGCAGUAGGGAAUCUUCCGCAAAGGGCGAAAGCCUGACGGAGCAACGCCGCGUGAGUGAUGAAGGUCUUCGGAUCGUAAAACUCUGUUAUUAGGGAAGAACAAAUGUGUAAGUAACUAUGCACGUCUUGACGGUACCUAAUCAGAAAGCCACGGCUAACUACGUG
rnacentral:rRNA from 1 species